GAUGUCACGUUCUUCAGUAUCGAACAGCAAAUGCUUUAAAAGUAACUCGUCACCGGAAACACGAAGAUGAAUUUUUGUUUUGUCUGCAAAAAUCAUGUCCUAACAAUUCAGCAAAGUGUCAAUAAAUUAAAAAUCUAUUCAAAGUUGCCAAAAAUGUGAAACUCGCCAUUCAUUCAUCCGCCAUCCAUCCAUCCAUCCAUGCAUACGUACAUGUAUGUACCUAGUUUUUAAUCAGUAUGCAUGCACGCUGUGCUACAUAGCCGGCUCAUCUGGUCAUUAUCAUCAACAAUACGGAUGACCAUCGAUGGUGAUGACAAUGCUGUGGCUUACACAUUAUUGAUAGCAGUUAUAUUUAAUUGUAGUUAGUUUAGUAAAUAAUUUAACUUAAUCCACUUCCCGUCAAUGUCCAUAAGCAUAUUUCGAAACAUUCGGCGGAGGGAUAUGAAUUUCCUGUUGUCGAUUGUGGAUGAAUUGAAUGUGUCCUCCGGUUUCCUUUUCCCUUUCCUGCCUGCAUUCGCCAUAUUACGGAUGUUGCAAGUAGCCACAUCCAAUUGGGACAUUUUUAAUAGUGAAACUAUCCCGAUUAGUCUCUACAUUCAUAAUUGUGACACUACUUGGAACACUUCCUCGCUCAGCGCAGCUCCUCUCAAAGUUUCCACCAACUUUCUGCUAAAUUUCCACAAAAUCUGGGCUCCAUGUGCAGCAAAAAGUGAAAUUGAAAAAGUGAGUGAAAAGUGUAACAGCACAAAAUCGAGUGGCGAAAGUGAUCAAGCAGAAGAAGAAAGUUGUGGGAAACCAUGUUGGAUAUUUACCGUCUUCUCGAUUUACAUAUGUGCAUACUCAUCAUUGAGUAUUUAUCACCUCCCCGUUUUCAUAAAAAAAUAAACUGUAUGGAUUCCUUACACAUAUGGUUAGCAAGUCAAUUACUUGAAUACCAAGGAACCACUCACUCUAGACGAGACUAGUGAUAAAACCACAUACUAAAUAAAUACGCACUAUAUGUUAAACACGUACGUGUGUAAGUGCAGUUGAAUUUGAAAAGGAUCAACUUUUCCACGAGCAGCAGUAAGUAAGCCGACGAAGCAAAAAGGAACCAGAUCUUUAUUGUUGGUGUGUGCAAUGAGGUUAAAAGAUGGAAAUGAUAGGAGCCGAGGGUGAAGCUAGUACAUAGAAAAGGAUGUCGUCGUGGAUGGAUCGAUGAAACUACGAUGCGACAAAUGACAAAGCGUUGGAUAAAAAUGGGAAAGAAGAUGAGAUCCAAGUGGCGCAAGGGAUGAUCGGAUAGGGUGGAAAAGUAACAUGUGGCGAGUGCCUUUGGAUUCACCACCACCAGAUCAAACCCAUUUUUUAAGAUGUUUUGCCGAGGGAGAGAUUGAAGAGAGAUGAGCAAAAGUACCCCCAUCGCAUCGUCCACCCUUCUUAUCGUGCCAUUACCACAUAUAAUACGAGCUAGAGGAUAGAUUCAUUUCUAGCACGUGCGGAGCGGUUCAAGAAGAAGUAGAAGAAAUGUAGACCAAGUCCAACGCAAUCAUCACCAGCUACACCACCCGUUCUUCCAACGACUACCUAAUCCGCACCACCAAAAGCCAACAUCACCUCAUCAUCUCCGUCUUCUUUCUUGGCGAGAAGGGUUGCUGGGGAUGUCAUGGACUUGUGGACAAGAAUCCAUGGACCGAAGACGACAUGAGAUGAGUCAACCCUUGGCUAAUGUGUCUUUCAUUCCAAAAGUGAGACACCUGCUCCUGCUCUAAUUUCCACCAGCCUUUGAAAAUAGCUACCACAGUUUUCAAGGGAAUUUAACUCAACGGUGGAUGGACCGCAUCUUGAAAAACAUGUUCUCUGGCAAAACCGCAUCACAGAUGGUCCAGUCGUCCAUACAUAUCUCUAGAAGAAUAAUGCGUAAGACAAGGACUUGGGGGGAAUUUUAUCCAUUACAAAACUCCUUGCCCGCCUGGAGGACUGCCACAACCAAGAAUUAUUGAGAUGUUGAGAUGGCGAAAGGUGGUUGCAUUAUUUCCAAUUCAAAAGUCCACAAGAGGAACAGCGAGUGGACCACCUCACCAACAAACGGAGAGAAAUAAUAAUAAUAAUGCCCACUCUGACAAUAAUCAACGAUGAAGCAACAGAUGUAGAUUCACCAGCACGAGUGUGCUGCAUACAUAUGCAAUUAAGGCUACACCACGGAUCCCUUCUUAUUAACCGAAAGAAAUGAAAUGGAAAAUGAGCCGCACGAGUCAUGACUUAUGAAUUUAUACGAGAGAGACACCGUUGCUGCUGCAUUGCUGUGCUGUCGGUUCAGUUAAAUGUCUGGAGGUCUCAAGGUGCAGAUGAGCAACAACUGAACAACAGGCACACCACUGCACUGCGGUUUGGCCACUACAUCUCAUGUCCCAGAGCAACUACACCAAAUCGUUUUACGAAAAGAAUCCGCGGACUUGACCGUGCACAAAAAGAGGCUGCGACAUGUAGCAUCUUGGGAUUGAAUGGGAAGCGUCGUCAGGUAAAAUGGACCAUUAGUCGUUGUUGUGUGGUGUGGGUACAUGUGCUGCAACGAAACCACUGCCAUCACUCAAAAUUUAAGAUUCGAUAUGAUAUGAUAUGAUUAUCUCUAAUGUCAAGCUGAACUCGGACAAAAAAUGGGACGAGUUGUCGAAUAAAAAAUUAAAAGACUGAAUGAA